AGUGAAGAUCUCGCAACGAUUACCGAGAAGGUAAUGUCGCCACUGCUUCAGCGCAUGAAUGACAGUAGCAAGUUCGAGGUCGUGAACUGGGUAGUUCUCUUCGUGAGGGCGCAAUUGCCGAGAGGCAUAAGCAAUCACUUUGCGGUCUUGCAUUAGGACACAGCCUAAUCCUUGACGGGAAGCAUCGCAGUAAAUGACGAAGUCCUUCUUAGUAUCAGGUGGGGCUAGAACUGGGGCAGAAGUCAACUUGUCUUUGAGUGCCUGGAAACUUUCCUGACAUUUGUCUGUCCAUUGGAACUUGACGCCCUUAUGUAACAGGUUAGUCAGAGGCCUGGCGAUCUUAGAGAAAUUCUCGACAAAUCGACGGCAAUAGCUGGCGAGACCGAGAAAACUUCUGACUUGCUUAACGUUCUUGGGAGGAGUCCAAUCAAGAAUAGCCUGAACUCGCUCGGGGUUGACGGCAAUACCAUCCUUAGAGAUGACAUGCCCAAGAUAGGUUACUUCCGGUAGCCAGAAUUCACAUUUGGAGAACUUGGCAUAUAGUUGAUGCUCUCGUAGCUUUUCCAGUACAAGUCGAAGAUGUUCAGCAUGUUCUUCUUCGUUCUUGGAAAAUACCAGGAUAUCAUCCAGAUAAACCACGACGAACUUGUCGAGGUAAUCCAUGAAUAUAUAGUUCAUCAGACGAGAGAAGGUGGCUGGAGCAUUGGUUAAACCGAAAGACAUGACGGUGUACUCGUAUGAACCAUAGCGAGUCACGAAGGCGGUCUUUGGGAUAUCCUCUUCGCGAACACGGAUCUGGUGGUAGCCCAACCUCAAGUCGAGCUUAGAGAACACUGACGAACCCGCCAGUUGAUCAUACAGAUCAUUGAUCCGAGGAAGAGGGUAUUUAUUCUGAAUGGUAGCUUGGUUUAUAGGACGGUAGUCUUGAACUAACCGGUUUGUCCCAUCCUUCUUCUUGACAAAGAGAGAAGGUGCUCCCCAAGGAGAGCAACUUGGGCGAAUGAAUCCUUUGCGAAGAGAUUUGUCGAUUUCCUCCUUAAGCUCAAGGAGUUCAUGCGACAGCAUUUUGUAGGGUCGCUUGGCUAUAGGAGUGGUGCCUGGUUUCAAGUCGAUGAUGAAUUCGACAGCUCUAGCAGGGGGAAUCCCUGGAAGUUCUUCAGGGAAGACGUCGAGGAAUUCACUCACGACGGGAAUGUUUUCAAUGCCCUCGAGUGGUGCAGCAUUCUAUGCAUUCAAUGCAUAGAGCCUUGCCUCGGCAUUUUGCACCAGGUGGGCUUGGUAAGUAACUAUCUCAUCUGAAGGGUGUAGCAGAUGGACGGUCUUAGUGGUGCAAACGAUUGAAGCAGUAUGCGCUUUUAGGCAAUUCAUUCCUAGAAUGAGAUCAAUGCUACAGGACUUCAGUACGAUGGGAGAGACAAGAAAUUCCAGUCCUUUGAUUUCGACGGGGACGUCGUUGCAAAUCAUGGAGGUUCGACAUUGGCCCGCAGGGGUGUGUACUAAUAGUGAAGCAUUCAUGUCUUCGCCUUUAAUGCCAUGCAUGAAUGCAAAAUCUUCUGACAUGAAUGAAUGUGAUGCACCUGUAUCAAAUAAAACGGAUGCUGGUGCUGAAUUUACGAGGAGUGUACCCAUCACAGUAGCAGGCUGGUCUUGAGCUUCGUUGAGAUCAACGUGGUUGGCAUGAGCACGACCAUAAGACUUAGCAUUGUUGUUGCGGGGCUGGUUGUUACCACGGCCAGUUGCUGGAAGGGCCAGUUGAUUCUGGUUCUGGUUGCAUUCUCUAGCACGGUGUCCUGGUUGACCACACCUGAAGCACAAGCCAUUAUUGGGAGUGGGAACAGGGGCUUGGGAUGGUGGAGCUGGAAGUCUUGACUGCCUAGAUCGUGGUGGAGGCAGACGAGGGGCAGCAUAGGUCUGCCUUGGGGCAGAUGCAUUUGGACGGUACAUGCUGUUCGGGAUCCAUAUCUUACGCUUCUGUGAGGGCGAGCCCGAAGAUGAGCCCGUGUCACGGUUGCGCCUGUGAGAGCUCUGGUAUUCCUGCAGACCAGUUUCGACAUUGAUGGCCUUGUUCACCAAGGUGGCGAAAUCAGCAAAGUCAUGCACUAGAAGUGCGAGCUUGAUGUCAGCUUGAAGGCCAUCACGGAACUUCUCCUGUCUGCGUGCAUCAGUUGCAAUGUCCUCCUCAGCAUAGCGAGACAAAUCCAGAAACUCCCGUUGAUAAGAUUCAACAGUUUUGUUGCCUUGGGUGAGGUUGCGGAACUCACGCUUCUUCCGGUCCAUGACUCCUUGAGGAAUGAAGUGGGCACGGAAAGCAGCUUGGAAGUCUGGCCACGUGAUGAUUGUCCCAGCUGGCAGAGUACGCCUGUGGCUGUCCCACCAUUGAGCUGCGGGUCCCUUCAGAAAGAAGGAAGCAAAGUUGACAUAGCUGGCAGGGGCUACAUCGGCAGACUCCAUCUCAUAGGUGAUGUCACGGAGCCAGUCAUCAGCAUCCAGAGGCUGAGUUGAGCUGCGGUACACAGUUGGGUUCAGGCGCAUGAAAUCCUGCAGAGUUACUGGGGUUGGUUGCUGGUCCAUAUUGGGGUGAGGAAACUGAGCCAUCAUAUUUUCCAUGAAUUGGCGGUUCAGUUUGAACUGCCAGAUCAUACCAGCCAUGUACUCAGGUGGUGGUGGGGCAUCGCCACCACGACCAUGACCACCUGGUCUAACCAUCCUGCUAAUAUAUAACAGGGGUAGUUCAGCAUUGAGAAAGUUUGCAAAGACAAGAAUCAUUCAUGAUAAAACAUGCAUAAUGAAAGGAGCACGAUAGCUACUACAUAGUAGUCGGCAUAACUUACAAAAGGGGUCAUGCAUAGAGUUCAGCACAUAGAGUUCAGUACAUAGACUAAAACAUCAUAGGCGGCACACAGGCUCGCGGCGAAUGCAUCUAACUCUACAAGCAAGCCCACAUCAGUCCCAAGAGGUACUGUGGAGGUAAUCGUAGCCCGACAGCUGGUAGUGAGGCAACGGAUAGCCCUCCACGUCAGCAGACUGGGGGCCGCGGAUACUCAGGUGUAGAGCCCGACGCUCAGGUGGCAGAAGAGGACCAAGUGCGGGAGAGUAGCCUCCCACCUCUGGCCAACCGACACCGUGGGGCAUCACGGUCCUGGCUGGGUAGAUCGCAGUACGCGGUAGCUGUCCAGAUCGGACAAAGGGGUGCAGCAGCGUCAGAGCACGGUAAAGGUGCUGACGGGUAGUGUACAUCUCGUGGCGAAGAGCUCGGUUAGCUCGAUCCAGCCCAUCAGCAUGCAGAACCAGGUUCUGAUGGUAGAAGGGCUCUCGGGUGACAGUGGAGUAGGCAGCAGUAUAGUAUCCCUCCGCACCAACAUCAGAUGCGAUAGCAAUGUGCCUGAAGGGGGAGGUGUCCAACUCCCGAUACUCUCCACGAAGACGUGUCAGAGCAGCAUAGGCAGCAUCGUGGACAGCCAUAUCGAUGGUCACACCAACACCAUGUGCGGUGUGCAGCACAGUAGUGGAGUCAUACUCCCGCGAGUAGAGGUGGACGAUGGCACGAUACUGCUCCUGGUUAAAGUCCUGGUACUCCUCGUAGACGGUGUACUCAGGGUGCCAGCGAUAACCCAGAUAGGUCAUCAUCUCAGCUAGCAUAGCCGGUGAUCCCGAGGCACCAAUGGCCGUCGUGUGGCGCACGACCUGCCUCGUGGGUUCCAUCUGAAAGCAAAGACGUUUCAAAGGAGUCAAAUGACAGUGUGUGAAUUGUUCAAAAUACUAUUCUAAGAAACAACUAUGGCUUAUCCAACUUUGGGGUGAAUGCGGUCACGGGAUCCUAGUGUUAGAGUUAGUAAAUUCGUUUAACCCGAGUAGAAGAGAGUUCAGAGUCCUAGAGUAAGGGUCGAGGAGUAAAAGAUCCUAGUAUCACCCAAUCGCGACGUGGGCCCGUAAGACACACAACCAUGUUAGUAAAAGUUUUGUAAUGUCUAGACUCGACUUCGGCCAAGGAGUGUGGAAAGGGGGAUUCCUACAAGCAGUCGGCUCUGAUACCAACUUGUGACGCCCCCGAUUUGACCGUCCACUAAUCAUGCACGCAAAUGUGUACGAUCAAGAUCAAGGACUCACGGGAAGAUACCACAACACAACUCUAAAACAUAAAUAAGUCAUACAAGCAUUAUAAUACAAGCCAGGGGCCUCGAGCGCUCGAAUACAAGUGCUCGAUCACGGACGAGUCAGCGGAAGCAACAAUAUCUGAGUACAGACAUAAGUUAAACAAGUUUGCCUUAAGAAGGCUAGCACAAACAGGGAUACAGAUCGAACGAGGCGCAGGCCUCCUGCCUGGGAUCCUCCUAACUACUCCUGGUCGUAGGUGUCGUCGUCGACGGUGGCGUCUGGCUCCUGGACUCCAGCAUCUGGUUGCGACAACCAGAUAGAAAGGAAAGGGGAAAAGAGGGAUAUAAGCAACCGUGGUACUCAUCCAAAGUAAUCGCAAGCAAUGAGCUAUACUACAUAUGCAUGGGUAUAUGUGUAAAGGGGCAUAUCAGUGGACUGAACUGCAGAAUGCCAGAAUAAAAUGGGGAUAGCUAGCCCUGUCGAAGACUACGCUUCUGGUCAUCUCCAUCUUGCAGCAUGUAGAAGAGAGUAGAUGGAAGUCCUCCAAGUAGCAUCGCAUAGCAUAAUCCUACCCGGCGAUCCCCUCCUCGUCGCCCUGUUAGAGAGCGAUCACCGGGUUGUAUCUGGCACUUGGAAGGGUGUAUUUUAUUCAGUAUCCAGUUCUAGUUGUCAUAAGGUCAAGGUACAACUCCGGGUCAUCCUUUUACCGAGGGACACGGCUAUUCGAAUAGAUAAACUUCCCUGCAGGGGUGCACCACAUAACCCAACACGCUCGAUCCCAUUUGGCCGGACACACUUUUCUGGGUCAUGCCCGGCCUCGUAAGAUCAACGCGUCGCAGCCCCACCUAGUCUCAACCGAGAGGUCAACACGCCGGUCUAACCCUAUGCGCGCAGGGGUCUGGGCCCAUCGCCCUAUGCACACCUGCACGUUGCGAGGGCGGCCGGAAGCAGACCUAGCCUAGUGGCGUUCCAGUCCAAUCCGGCGCGCGCCGCUCCGUCGCUGACGUCAAAAAGAGCUUCGGCUGAUACCACGACGCCGGGAUACCCAUAACUACUCCCGCGUAGAUGGUUAGUGCGUAUAGACCAAAUGGCCAGACUCAGAUCAAAUACCAAGAUCUCGUUAAACGUGUUAAGUAUCCGCGAACGCCGACCAGGGCCAGGCCCACCUCUCAUCUAGGCGGUCUCAACCUGCCCUGUCGCUCCGCCACAAAGAUCCACUUGCGGGUACUCCUACGAGCCGACCCGACUUUAGUCAUCACAUGUGUCAUGUAUAUAGUAUAGAAGCAUAUACCCGUGAUCACCGCCCAGGUGAUCACGGCCCGAUAGUAUAGCAUAGCAGACGGACAAGAAUGUAGGGCCACUGAUGGAAAACUAGCAUCCUAUACUAAGCAUGUAGGAUUGCAGGUAAAGGUAACAACAGUAGUAGCAAGGAUAGGCUAUGCAUCAGAAUAGGAUAUCGGAAAGCAGUAACAUGCUACACUACUCUAAUUCAAGCAGUAUAGAGAAGAAUGGGCGAUAUCUAGUGAACAGGGGGGGCUUGCCUGGUUGCUCUGGCAAGUAGGAGGGGUCGUCAACUCCGUAGUCGAACUGGGCAGCAGCAGUGUCAGUCUCGUAGUCUACCGGAGGGAAGAGGGGGAAGAAACAGUAAAUACAAUGCAAACAUAAACAUGACGAUGCGUGACAUGACAAUGAGUAGUGCGAGGAGUGUCCUAACGCGACAGUAGGUGGUACCGGCGAAGGGGGGAACAUCCGGGAAAGUAUUCCCGCUGUUUCGCGUUUCACACAGACGGACCGGAGGGGGAAAGUUGCGAGUUCGAUAGGUUCGGGAGGUGUGGUGCACGAACGGACUGCGUUUCCGGAUUCGUCUCGUCGUUCUGAGCAACUUUCAUGUUGAAAAUAUUUUAAUCCGAGUUACGCAUUAAAAGAUAUGAUUUUCUAAAGAAUUUAUUAAUUUCUGGAAUUUAAUUAAUUAUUUAAUUUAAUUCGAAAAUGGAUUUAUGACAUCAGCAUGAUGUCAUGCUGACGUCAGCAGUCAACGUUGACCGUUGACCUGGUCAACCUGACAGGUGGGUCCCACCUGUCAGUGUCUGUUAGCCAAUUAACUACUGUUUAGUUAAAUUAAUUAACUAAUUAGAUUAGUUUAAACAAGAUUAAUUAACUUAAUUAAUUUAGUUAAUUAAUUAAUUAAAAUUAUUUUUAUUUUUGUUUUCUUUCUUUAUUUAUUUAUUAAUUAAGUUAUUAUUAUUAUUAUUUAUUAUUUAUUAUUUAUUUUUUUUUAUUUUAUUUUAUUUUAUUUUUUUAUUCGUUCUGUGCGUGGGCCCCGGCUGUCAUUGGGCCAGGGGGGUUCGAGCCCAGGGGGCAGUGGCUCAGGGGGGGCGAGGCCCCACCUGGCAGUGGCCCAGGGGCCGUAGCGGGCACAGGGCGAUGCGGGUGCGGGUGCCCAUAGCCUGCCCAGGGCAGGGCGGGGCCGUGGCCAUGGACGAGGCCGCCGGCGCCCACGACGCCGGCCAGGAGGGCGGCGGAGGGCCGCGGGCGGCGCGGGGGUGGAGGUAGUGGCGGGGCUGCGGACUAGAGGGGGCGCUGGCNNNNNNNNNNNNNNNNNNNNNNNNNNNNNNNNNNNNNNNNNNNNNNNNNNNNNNNNNNNNNNNNNNNNNNNNNNNNNNNNNNNNNNNNNNNNNNNNNNNNNNNNNNNNNNNNNNNNNNNNNNNNNNNNNNNNNNNNNNNNNNNNNNNNNNNNNNNNNNNNNNNNNNNNNNNNNNNNNNNNNNNNNNNNNNNNNNNNNNNNNNNNNNNNNNNNNNNNNNNNNNNNNNNNNNNNNNNNNNNNNNNNNNNNNNNNNNNNNNNNNNNNNNNNNNNNNNNNNNNNNNNNNNNNNNNNNNNNNNNNNNNNNNNNNNNNNNNNNNNNNNNNNNNNNNNNNNNNNNNNNNNNNNNNNNNNNNNNNNNNNNNNNNNNNNNNNNNNNNNNNNNNNNNNNNNNNNNNNNNNNNNNNNNNNNNNNNNNNNNNNNNNNNNNNNNNNNNNNNNNNNNNNNNNNNNNNNNNNNNNNNNNNNNNNNNNNNNNNNNNNNNNNNNNNNNNNNNNNNNNNNNNNNNNNNNNNNNNNNNNNNNNNNNNNNNNNNNNNNNNNNNNNNNNNNNNNNNNNNNNNNNNNNNNNNNNNNNNNNNNNNNNNNNNNNNNNNNNNNNNNNNNNNNNNNNNNNNNNNNNNNNNNNNNNNNNNNNNNNNNNNNNNNNNNNNNNNNNNNNNNNNNNNNNNNNNNNNNGACGGUGGUCUCCUCCCGAUCCAGAUCCGGGGAGGCAGGGGAGGGAGGAUAUUUCGGGGGGGAAGUGGGUGGAGGUGUCGGUGGUGAGGGGGGGGAUGGAUAAGGUGGGGAGUGGGUGGGCCGGCCGGCUGGGCCUGGGGGUUGGCCCAGUCGGGCCAGGGUCCAGUGUGGGAGGGGGCUCCUCCUUUUUUUUCUUUUCUGUUUGUUUUCUCUAUUGCAUUUUCUUUUCUUUUUAUUUAUUUUCUUUUCUGUUUUACAUCAUUUUAAAAUAGUUAGGCAUUUUCUAAAAAUAUGUUUUCUCCACAAUAAUUAUCAGUGCAAUAUCUGGCACCCACCGAACAUUUUUGUUUAAAUUUUUGAAAACUUUUAUUAUUGACAUUAAUUUGAAUUUAAAUUUUGAAACGGUUUCGAAUCAUCGCGAGGUUAACAACAGUAACCGUGGUGACGUGGCAUCAUUAGCGUGGGAUUACUGUAGCUUAAUUAUCCGGGCGUCACACUCGUAACUCAAAUAUUCUCCUUCACGAUCAGAUCGUAGAAACUUUAUUUUCUUGUUAUGAUGAUUUUCCACUUUACUCUGAAAUUCUUGGAACUUUUCAAAUGUUUCAGACUUAAGUUUCAGUAAGUAGAUAUACCCAUAUCUGCUCAAAUCAUCUGUGAAGGUCAGAAAAUAAUCAUACCCUCCACGAGCAUCAACACUCAUCCGACCGCAUACAUCGGUAUGUAUUGUUUCCAGCAAGUCUGUUGCUCGCUCCAUAGUUCCAGAGAACGGAGUCUUAGUCAUCUUGCCCAUGAGGCAUGGUUCGCAAGUAUCAAGUGAUUCAUAAUCAAGUGAUUCCAAAAGCCCAUCAGCAUGGAGUUUCUUCAUGCGCUUUACACCAAUAUGACCUAAACGGCAGUGCGACAAAUAAGUUGCACUAUCAUUAUUGAACUUAUAUCUUUUGGCUUCAAUACUAUGAAUAUGUGUAUCACUACUAUCGGCAUUCAACAAAAAUAGACCACUCAUCAAGGGUGCAUGACCAUAAAAGAUAUUACUCAUAUAAAUAGAACAACCAUUAUUCUCUGAUUUAAAUGAAUAACCGUCUCGCAUCAAACAAGAUCCAGAUAUAAUGUUCAUGCUCAACGCUGGCACCAAAUAACAAUUAUUUAGGUCUAAAACUAAUCCCGAAGGUAGAUGUGAGGUAGCGUGCCGACCGCGAUCACAUAAACUUUGGAACCAUUUCCCACGCGCAUCGUCACCUCGUGCUUAUCCAAUCUUCGCUUAAUCCGUAGCCCCUGUUUCGAGUUGCAAAUAUGAGCAACAGAACCAGUAUCAAAUACCCAGGCACUACUGCGAGCAUUAGUUAAGUACACAUCAAUAACAUGUAUAUUAAAUAUACCUUUCACUUUGCCAUCCUUCUUAUCCGCCAAAUACUUGGGGCAGUUCCGCUUCCAGUGACCAGUCCCUUUGCAGUAGAAGCACUCAGUCUCAGGCUUAUGUCCAGACUUGGGCUUCUUCACUCGAGUAGCAACUUGCUUGCCGUUCUUCUUGAAGUUCCCCUUCUUCCCUUUGCCCUUCUUCUUGAAACUGGUGGUCUUGUUGACCAUCAACACUUGAUGCUCCUUCUUGAUUUCUACCUCCGCAGCUUUUAGCAUCGCGAAGAGCUCGGGAAUUGUCUUAUCCAUCCCUUGCAUAUUAUAGUUCAUCACGAAGCUUUUGUAGCUUGGUCGCAGUGAUUGAAGAACUCUGUCAAUGACACUAUCAUCAGGAAGAUUAACUCCCAGUUGAGUCAAGUGGUUGUGGUACCCAGACAUUUUGAGUAUAUGUUCACUGACAGAACUAUUCUCCUCCAUCUUGCAGCUAUAGAACUUAUUGGAGACUUCAUAUCUCUCAAUCCGGGUAUUUUCUUGAAAUAUUAACUUCAACUCCUGGAACAUCCCAUAUGCUCCAUGACGUUAAAUGUCGUUGAAGUCCCGGUUCUAAGCCGUAAAGCAUGGCACACUGAACUAUCGAGUAGUCAUCAACACGCGUCUGCCGGGCAUUCACAAUGUCCGCAGUUGCUGGUGCGGGUGGUACACCUAGUGGUGCUUCGAGGACGUAAUUCUUCUGUGCAGCAAUGAGGAUAAUCCUCAAGUUACGGACCCAGUCCGUGUAAUUGCUACCAUCAUCUUUCAACUUAGCUUUCUCUAGGAACACAUUAAAAUUCAACGGAACAGUAGCACGGGCCAUUUAUCUACAACAACAUAGACAUGCAAAAUACUAUCAGGUACUAAGUUCAUGAUAAAUUAAAGUUCAAUUAAUCAUAUUACUUAAGAACUCCCACUUAGAUAGACAUCCCUCUAAUCAUCUAAGUGAUCACGUGAUCCAAAUCAACUAAACCAUGUCCGAUCAUCUCGUGAGAUGGAGUAGUUUUCAAUGGUGAACAUCACUAUGUUGAUCAUAUCUACUAUAUGAUUCACGCUUGACCUUUCGGUCUCAGUGUUCCGAGGCCAUAUCUGCAUAUUCUAGGUCGUCAAGUUUAACCCGAGUAUUUUGCGUGUGCAAAACUGGCUUGGACCCGUUGUAUGUGAACGUAGAGCUUAUCACACCCGAUCAUCACGUGGUGUCUUGGCACGAUGAACUGUCGCAACGGUGCAUACUCAGGGAGAACACUUAUACCUUGAAAUUUAGUGAGAGAUCAUCUUAUAAUGCUACAGCCGAACUAAGCAAAAUAAGAUGCAUAAAGGAUAAACAUCAUAUGCAAUCAAUAUAAGUGAUAUGAUAUGGCCAUCAUCAUCUUGUGCCUUUGAUCUCCAUCUCCAAAGCACCGUCAUGAUCACCAUCGUCACCAGCGCGACACCUUGAUCUCCAUCGUAGCAUCGUUAUCGGUGUCAGUGUCAAAACCGGCGGAUCUCGGGUAGGGGGUCCCGAACUGUGCGUCUAAGGUCGAUGGUUAAUAGGAGACGGGGGACACGAUGUUUACCCAGGUUCGGGCCCUCUCUAUGGAGGUAAUACCCUACUUCCUUCUUGAUUGAUCUUGAUGAAUAUGAGUAUUACAAGAGUUGAUCUACCACCAGAUCAUAAUGGCUAAACCCUAGAAGUCUAGCCUAUAUGACUAUGGUAAUGAGUGUAUCCUUUCCGGACUAUUCCCUCCGGUUUAUAUAGACACCGGGGGGAUCUAGGGUUACAUAAGAAGGAAUCUUCAUAGUUGGUCGCCAAGCUUGCCUUCCACGCCAAGGAGAGUCCAAUCCAAACAUGGGUAUAGUCUUCGGCCUUCAUGUCUUCACAGCCCAUAAGUCCGGCCCACUGAUAAUAGGUCGGACGCCCGAGGACCCCUUAGUCCAGGACUCCCUCAGUAGCCCCAGAACCUGGCUUCAAUGACGAGGAGUCCGGCGCGCAGAUUGUCUUCGGCAUUGCAAGGCGGGUUCCCUUUUUCCGAACUCCAAGAUAGUAUUCAGACGCGUUGAUAGUAUCCGGACCUGUCACACACACCAUACACAACCACAGAGGGAAUUUAACUUUACACAAGUCCAAUCUGCUGACAAAUUUUUGUAGCAUGCCAUCACGUCCGACCGGUCAUAAUUCUGAACCGUUUUAUGCCCGACGCCCCACGUCCCGAGAGGCGGUUGCUAUUGGCACGUCCUGUCAAAGCAGAGAUCGUGUCCCCUUAUCGUGGGAUUCUCAUUAAUGCGGGCAUGGGUAACCCAACCGUGCCGUUUACACAGGCCUUGGGAAUAGGUGUAUUCUAAGGCGAGUGGGGAGGCGUUCAAUAUUUACUACCUUUAUGAGGGGAUAAGGACUCCCUCUUCUUCUCCCAUGCCUUCUCUCUAUCUCUGCGCUUCCAAUCUCGAGCUCCAGCGCCCAAGUUCUCAUCUCCUUUCCACUCGAGCUAGCACUCAACCAUGUCCGGAUCUGGAGGUCAGGGCAAGUGGAUGAUCUCCUCCGUCAAGGAGGAGGACAUUACCGAGCUUCGGGUGGCCCGAUACUUGGCGAAGGAAAUCGCCCACCGUCUGCCGGCCGAGGGACAAGUCCUCCCGAUGCCGGAGCCCAACGAGAGGGUGGUAUUCAUCCCUCAUUUCUUCCACUGACUGGGUUUCCCGCUCCACCCUUUCGUCUGCGGGCUGAUGUAUUACUAUGGGAUAGAUUUCCACGAUCUGUCCCCAAACUCCUUCCUCAACAUCUCGGCGUUUAUCGUCGUGUGCGAGGCCAUCCUCCGCAUCCAACCCCACUUCGGGCUGUGGCUCAAAGUUUUCAACGUGAAGCCGAAGGUGGUGGAUGGCCAGCACGCGGAGUGCGGAGGAGCUAUGGUGAGUAAGUUGUCCAAUGUCUCCUGGCCGAAAGGCACUUUUGUGGAGACAGUAAAGGAGUGGCAGAAACAAUGGUUCUACAUCACGGAACCCCGCGGCACCACUAGAGCCGCAGCUGUCGAAUUCCGCUCCGACGCUCCCAUGUGACUCACCUCCUGGGUAGAGAAGAGUCCGGACUGGUGUUCGCCCGAUGACCUGAUUGCGCUCCAGACGCGCAUUCAGAGCAUGAUAGCCAAGAACGUCAAGCUUGUCGAUGUAAUUCAGGUGAUGCUGGUUCGCUGGAUCCUUCCGUGCCAAUGCAGAAGUCGUCCUCUGUGGGAUUUUAACCCGAAGAAGCGCCAAACCCUGGUGAGGCUCUUUGAAACUACUCACGAGCGUGCCUGGAAGUUGCUCUUCAAGGGCAACGAGAAACCGCAGGCCACGGAUUCGGACCGUGGGCACGACAUUAAGCACCUCGCCAGCGAGGUAUACUAUUUUUAACGUAUCCUCUACUUGCUUGUUUCGAGGAUGAUGUCUGAGCUUUUAUCAUUGCUGUUUCAGGAUUGGACGGAGAAGGCGAAGCGGAUCCAGUGUCCGGCUCCGCUGCCGGAAGAACCGGUCAUCCCGCGUCUAGCGAUGAUGCUGGUGCCGACGCCAUAUAAGGCGCCGGAGAAGAAGGCCAAGGGGGCCAAAGUUGGCCCCCGUCGCAAAGGCGCUUCGGAUGUGACGUCCGAAGACGAAGAAGCCCAUUCCUCCGUCCCUGAGGACAAUGACGAGGAAGAGGAGGAGGAGGAGGAGGAGGAGAAGAACCUUCCUCCUAAGGAGGGAAAGAAGAAAAGGGGGGCCUCCACGAAUCUGGAGGCGGGAACGCCCAAGAAGGGGAAGGGCGCCCCUGCGGUCAACACCGUGUGGGACGUUGACAGCAGUUCGGAGCGACGCCUUCGCACUAAGCCUCGGGACGCAUUGUAAGUGCUAUGACUCACAUAUACAUGUGUACCCGGCCUCUCAUUCUUAUUGUUUUAACGUGGUUAAUUGUGCUAUUGCAGUCCGGCCCGUGACAGCAUCCAGUGAUCCUCAUCCGGAGGUUCGUUGGAUCCAACGGAAAUGGCCAGCAUGUCGCCACCGCCCGCUUAUUCUCCCGAGGUCAAAGAUGACACCGAAGUGUUGUCUCGGAGGACUGCUCCAAGCCGGGGAAGGGCCCAGGACAAUAACCCGGAGGCGCCGCAAGGCGAGACCUCCGCUGCCGAACAUGAUUCCCCUGAAGACUGGCGAGGAGGGACGUAUUCAGUUCGGCCCUCAGCCGAACAUGAUUCCGGGGACCAAUAAGGCCUCGGAAUCCGGCUAGCGCCCUCCUUCAAAGGAGGGAGGUGCGCCAAUUCUAUCGGUGGCCCCUGUCCAACCAGGGGCGCCGAAUAACCCGAUGGAGGCGCUGCAAGGCGCCUGCAUUAUGGACGAGCAUCGUGUCCUUAUUGGUAUGGUGAUCGAGAAGGUUCAGUCUGCCAAAAGCGGACUAAACGAGGCCUGAGCAACCUGUUAACAGGUUUUGAGGUAAGUUGCGUAGAAAGAGAACAACCCCAUGCAGAUAGUAGCCCCUGAGACACUGUCCGGUGUUCGAAAAGAAAGGCCGGACAGAGGAUCAACCCUUUGUAGGAGACUAACUUGAUAUGCGCAAAUGAGCAGGCGUCGCUAUUGGCCGCGACCUCUCAUGCUGCCAAAGUCUCUGAUCUGAGGCAGAGACUGGAGCGGGCCGAGAACGAGCUCAGUGAGGCGAAGAUUCAGCUCCAGGAGAGGCAAGGUGAGCGACGACUUGUUGUGUAUUCGGAAAGAAUAAGCGGGGAGUAUUGACCGCAGUGUCAUACUAUGUGUAGGGGCGGCGACCGAGGUCAAGGCCCUGAAAAAUGCCCUGGCCGAAGCCGAGGGGAAGGCUGUCCAGCAGCAAGCCGCCCAUAAGAAGCUCAAGGCCCGGGUCAGCGAGGUCCAGCAGGAGCUCCAGGACGCGGUGAAGAAGUGCGAAGUCUUGGAGCGCGAGGCGUCGGUUCAAGAGGCCAAAUUUACCAAGGCUCGCCAGAGCGCGGAUACUGCACGGAAUGAGGCCCGGGACGCUCUCCAUGAGAUACAGGAGGCCAAGAAGGUCGCAGCGGGUAAGGCCUUUAACAUGCAAAGCAAGUAUGUGGAGAGGAAGUACCUUUUACUAACCCGGAUUCGGAGUUGUCCAGGGGCCUUUGCGGAUCUACCAUGCAACGUGUCCAAUUAUGCGGAGUUCUUCCGAGCCAGAGAAGGGAGCUCCACGGAGAAGCUGUUCUGGUCGCAGUAUGCUGUGCCAGAACAUCCGGUGCGCUUUGUCGAUCAACUGAAGCAGUUGGUCGAGCUGCAUAGAGUGGCCGAACUGGCCAUGAAGGAUUUAAUAAUCCGGCUGUGGCCAGCCGAAGCUAUGCCUAGCAGCUAUUUUGGCCUUGUGCAGCGGGUGGUAGAAGCCUGUCCGCGGCUAGACAUCGUCAAGCAAUCAGUCUGCAUCGAAGGUGCCCGCAUGGCCUUCGCCCAUUGCAAGAUGUGAUGGGCAAAGAUGGACGCCGUCGAGGUGGCCAGGGGGCCGCCAGAGGGCAAGGAGCACCGCACACCCGAGCGAUAUUUUGCGGAUGUCCUAGAAGGGUUUCGACUUGCAGCAGCGCAGUGCGGGCAGGACAUUGUUUUUGAAUGAAUACACUUGUGUUUUGUCCUUGCCUUGUAUGAUAAAAACGAAGCCGGUUUGUAAUACAAUGUUUGUUAUGUUUUAAUUGUUUCUUCCUAUGCGGCUGUGUUGUAUGAAAUCUGAGGGUUGGCCAGUCGUCGGCUUCCGCCCUCACGUAGGUAGUAUGGAGGUGUUCGGGAUGGAAUCUAAACAAUCUUUAUCCAAUUAUAUGGUCCUUAAAGGAGUUGUUUAGCGCAACGAACCAGGCAAUCAGACUAUGCAUCUUAAACACCCUCAUUUAGCCAUAGGAGUUUUAUAAUAAAACAUGGGCGCAGCCCCUGGUAUACGAACCAGAGUGCUGUCAGCGCCUGAUCGGGAAGUACCGAUCCUUCGCAUAACGCGGAAAAAAUCUCCGGCGAUUUUCAACCUCUCGAACAGCUGACCGGCUCUCGCCGCAUCAUGACAGUAAGUUUUUGGCUUUCUCUACUGAGGUGCUCAUCUGGGUAAACCAGGGCACAAUCGCAGUAGUUCUCCCUUUACUACCCUAGCCGAUGUAGCGGAACGUAGGGUAGCAAGCACAGGAGCCGGGCAACCCAACUAUUGACCAAAGACAUGAUUCGGAGCCAAUGCAUAUAAUGCUAAAUUCGGGGUGCCGAACAUAUCUAUAAGAAGUGUUCGGACUUUGUUGCUGUAUUAUGGGGCGGUGAGGAGCCCCUGGCAAAUAUGAAACAUACCAAAGUGUACGGGUGCUAGAAUGCAAGUAAUUAAUGGCAAAGGAAAACAGAAAAAGAGCAGAGGUAAUAUCUGUGGCCCUUGAACCUGGGCCAUGAACUGUUUCCAUUAUAAUUGGAUUGAUGUGUUAAAGCGCAUCGACACAAAUAGUGCGAUCAACACCCGGCUAUUUAACAUGCUGCCACCGAAGGCGAGCUGCGUGUGAGUCCUGAAAACAGGUAGAGUAAUUGUUAAAUUGACCUCUAGAGUUUCUCUUGUCCGCCUGUGCUUCGCGCCGCUCUGGUGUAUUUAUCCUUGGACUGGGCCAGCAAUCAGGCCCUCGAAGGAGGCAUGUGUAAAACCUGAGAAGGGAAGAGGAAAUAGUUAAGGUGUAUGUGAGUCCGGGAUCGGUCUAGCCGAACUAUGGAUCACAAGCUAGUUGUGCCUCCGUCGACGCCCAUGGAAUUUUGAGUGCGUAAUUAUGUACGUAUGGCACGAAUGCCACUGCCUCAUCGGGACUGGGACGGAGGCCGAAUUGCUAAUCGAGCUCUUGACGAGCCGAGCUAUCCUGUUGCAGUGUAGUCCGGACCCUCUUAAUGAUGUCCAGGGGCUCGGCAGCCGGAUUAUGGUGCUUCUUGAGAAGGCCGCUCUAUACCUUUGCUGCCAGGGCGGCGGUGUGCUCUUCUGUACAGAGGGAGCGUUCCGUGUUUCCAUUGACUGUUAUGACGCCGCAUGGACCAGGCAUCUUGGGCUUGAGAUAAGCAUAGCGUGGUACCGCGCUGAAUCUUGCAAACGCGGUUCGUCCGAGCAGUGCAUGAUAGCCGCUGCGGAAGGGGACGAUAUCGAAGAUGAUCCCUUCGCUUCGGAAGUUAUCCGGGGAACCGAAGACCACUUCCAGCAUGAUUGAGCCCGUACAACGGGCCUCUACGCCUGGUAUGACUCCUUUAAAGGUAGUCUUUGUGGGUUUGAUUCGUGAGGGGUUGACGCCCAUUUUGCGCACUAUAUCCUGAUAGAGCAGGUUGAGGCUGCUACCCCCGUCCAUUAGGACUCGUGUUAGGUGAAAUUCGUCGAUGAUUGGGUCGAGGACCAGUGCAGCCGAACCGCCAUGGCGAAUACUAGUUGGAUGAUGUCGACGACCGAAGGUGAUCGGGAAUGAUGACCACGGGUUUAAUUUUGGGGCGACUGGCUCUACUGCGUAGACGUCCCUGAGUGCGCGCUUGCGCUCCCUUUUGGGGAUGUGUGUGGCGUAUAUCAUGUUCACCGUUUUGAGUUGAGGGGGAAAUUUCUUCUGCCCCCCAGUGUUCGGCUGCCGGGGCUCUUCGUCAUCGUCCUUACUUUGUGAUCCCUUUUCCUUGUUCUCGGCAUUUAACUUGCCGGCCUUUUUAAAAACCCAACAAUCUCUGUUGGUAUGAUUGGCUUGUUUGUCUGGGGUGCCAUGUAUUUGGCACGGACGGUCGAGUAUGCGGUCCAAGCUGGAUGGUCCUUCACUGUUCCUUUUGUAGGGCUUCUUCCGCUGACCGGACUUGGAGCCGCUGAAUCCGGCGUGAACCACAGUGUCAUCGGUGUUAUCGCCAUUGCUUCAGCGUUUGUGUCUAUUGCGCCGGAGCUUGCCGGUGCUGUUUUUGGCUUCGGAGGGGCCUGCCUCGUUGGCUGUGUUUUUGCUACGAGCCAGCCAGCUGUCCUCACCCGCACAAAAGCGGGUCAUGAGUGCCGUGAGGGCUGCCAUAGAUUUCGGCUUUUCUUGGCCGAGGUGGCGGGCGAGCCAUUCGUCACGGAUGCUGUGUUUGAAGGCCGCUAGGGCUUCGGCAUCCGGACAGUCAACGAUCUGGUUCUUUUUGGUUAGGAACCUAGUCCAGAAUUUCCUUGCGGACUCUCCAGGUUGUUGAACUAUAUGACUUAAGUCAUCAGCGUCUGGUGGCCGAACAUAAGUGCCUUGGAAGUUGUCAAGGAAAGCUUCUUCCAAGUCCUCCCAGUUGCCGAUGGAAUUUUUGGGCAAGCUAUUUAACCAGUGUCUAGCUGGUCCAUUUAGCUUUAGUGGGAGGUAUUUGAUGGCGUGGAGAUCGUCUCCUCAGGCCAUAUGGAUGUGGAGAAUAAAAUCUUUGAUCCAUACUGCGGGAUCAGUUGUUCCAUCGUAUGACUCAAUAUUGACGGGCUUGAACCCCUCAGGGAAUUCAUGAUCCAGCACUUCAUCUGUGAAGCAAAGAGGGUGUGCGGUGCCUCUAUAUCGGGAAGUGGCGCGGCGCACCUCUGAUGAAGUCUGCCCGCGGUUAUCGGCCUGGGCGUGACUAGGUUUGUCACGUCCGAAUAGGUAGCCGUCAUCCCGAGUCGGAAGGCGUCCUCGCGAUCCGUAGAUUGAUUUGGUGUGUCCUGCUUUACUGUCCAGUUCCUGCCGAAGGUCGUAUGUAUAGUCCCGAGCUAUUUUGUCUUUGUUUUUGCGAGGCGGUGGGGCGGGCUGCUGGUUGGCAUGAGUUGUCGCUUUUUCCCGACGGCGGGGUGGUCGGUCCACCGCACUGUCCCGCUCGCGCGGUGGUCGUUCCGCAUUGCGCGAGGGAGGUAUGGGCUCCGGUGCCUCCUCAUCAAACUGAGGUAGCAGUCUGCGCUUCUGGUAACUCUUGGCUGGACGCUUGAGGCCGUAUUCUUCGGCUGCCAGGACAUCAGUCCAUCUGUCAAUGAGUAGGUCUUGAUCAGCUUGAAGCUGCUGCUGCUUUUUCUUCAAGCUUCUUGCAGUGGCAAUUAGCUGUUGCUUGAAGCGCUCCUGCUCGAGGGGUGCCUCAGGCACGAUGAAGUCCUCGUUGCCGAGGCUCUCCUCAUCCUCGGAGAGCGGAUGAUAACUAUCGUCAUCCGGGUCGUUGGGCAUGGCCUGUUUAUCAGGGUUAACUUGCCCGUUGUCUUGUUCCUCCUGUUCGGAUGUUGCUCCAACAGUGUCUUCGUUGUUUUCGGCGUCAUCCGGAGUAUUAUUUUCUCCGGUGCAAGUGUUGCCGUCUUUUGAGCGACGUGGCUUAGAACGGCGUUUAGGGCGCCGACGCUUGGACUGUGUCUCAGGAGGUUUAUUCUCAACUGGAUCUUCUUUGUCAUCGUCGCUAGCCUUUUUAGGUGUGUCGACGUACACAUCGUACGAAGAGGUAGCCGUCCAACAUCCAGUGAAUGGCAGGUUUUGACCCUGCUCCUCCUCGUCAUCAUCGUCUAUGUCGUCGAUGUAUUCGGAGCCGUAAUCAAGCGUGUCGGUUAAGUCAUCGAGAGUGGCUAUGAAGUGGGUGGCGGGUGGGAAGCAAAAUUCUCCGUCGUCAGCCCCUAGUUCGAACCGGACAUAGUUCGGCUGUGAGUCCCCCGCCAAGGAUAGGUUAUUUAACGAGUUUAGCAUGUCACCCAGGGGCGAGUGUUGGAAGAUGUCUGCGGCGUCGAAUUCGAAAAUCGAUAAUUGAUCCAGCUCAGUGUCCGCAGGCGUACGUGGUUCGGAACUUAUAGUCGGAGACGAGUCCGGAGUUCCGUUGACGCAAAUAUUGCAAGGUGUCGAGUCUGUGUGCGGCUCCAACGCCGCGGACUCUGUGGCCUCGGAUGGCGCAAUCUACUCCGGAUUAAUGGCCGUUGCAGAUACAGGAACCAUCUCCUGGAUGUGAUCCAAUGACAGAUUUAAGUCAUGUUGAUCGGAGCGAGGGGGAGCGAUCGCCGCGGUCUCGAAUCCGUUGAAGAUCAGGUCUCCACGGAUGUCCGCGACGUAGAUCAAGCUUCUAGAUCUGGCUCGAUGGCCAGGGGCGUAGCUGUUGAUCUGCUCCACAUGGCCAAGCGAGUUGGCCCGCAGUACGAAGCCGCCGAAUACGAAGAUCUGUCCGGGGAGGAAGGUUUCUCCCUGGACAGCGUCCCUAUCGACGAUUGAAGGGGCCAUUGAACCUUUCGUCGACGACACAAUGGAACUCUCAAUGAAAGCACCAAUGUCGGUGUCAAAACCGGCGGAUCUCGGGUAGGGGGUCCCGAACUGUGCGUCUAAGGUCGAUGGUUAACAGGAGACGGGGACACGAUGUUUACCCAGGUUCGGGCCCUCUCUAUGGAGGUAAUACUCUACUUCCUGCUUGAUUGAUCCUGACGAAUAUGAGUAUUACAAGAGUUGAUCUACCACGAGAUCGUAAUGGUUAAACCCUAGAAGUCUAGCCUGUAUGACAAUGGUAAUGAGUGUAUCCUUUCCGGACUACUCCCUCCGGUUUAUAUAGACACCGGGGGGAUCUAGGGUUACAUAGAGUCGGUUACAUAAGAAGGAAUCUUCAUAGUUGGUCGCCAAGCUUGCCUUCCACGCCAAGGAGAGUCCAAUCCGGACACGGGUAUAGUCUUCGGCCUUCAUGUCUUCACAGCCCAUAAGUCCGGCCCACUGAUAAUAGGUCGGACACCCGAGGACCCCUUAGUCCAGGACUCCCUCAGUCGUCUCACCAACUAUUGCUUCUACGACUAACGCUACCGCUUAGUGAUAAAGUAAAAACAAUUACAUGGCGAUUGCAUUGCAUACAAUAAAGCGACAACCAUAUGGCUCCUGCCAGUUGCCGAUAACUCUGUUACAAAAUAUGAUCAUCUCAUACAAUAAAAUAUAGCAUCAUGUCUUGACCAUAUCACAUCACAACAUGCCCUGCAAAAACAAGUUAGACGUCCUCUACUUUGUUGUUGCAAGUUUUACGUGGCUGCUACAGGCUUAGCAAGAACCGUUCUUAUCUACACAUCAAAAAAACCACAACGAUUUUUCGUCAAGUGUGUUGUUUUAACCUUCAACAAGGACCGGGCGUAGCCACACUCGAUUCAACUAAAGUUGGAGAAACAGACACCCACUGGACACCUGUGUGCGAAGCACGUCGGUAGAACCAGUCUCGCGUAAGCGUACGCAUAAUAUCGGUCUGGGCCGCUUCAUCCAACAAUACCGCUGAAUCAAAGUAUGACAUGCUGGUCAGCAGUAUGACUAUUAUCGCCCACAAUUCUUUGUGUUCUACUCGUGCAUAUAACAUCUACGCAUAGACCUGGCUCGGAUGCCACUGCUGGGAAACGCAGUAAUUUCAAAAAAAUUCCUACGAACACGCAAGAUCUAUCUAUGUGAUGCAUAGCAACGAGAGGGGAGAGUUUUGUCUACGUACCCUCGUAGACCGAAAGCGGAAGCGUUAUGACAACGCGGUUGAUGUAGUCGUACGUCUUCACGAUCCGAUCGAUCCUAGCACCGAAGGUACGGCACCUCCGCGAUCUGCACACGUUCAGCUCGGUGACGUCCCACGAACUCUAGAUCCAGCUGAGGUCGAGGGAGAGUUUCGUCAGCACGACGGCGUGAUGACGGUGAUGAUGAAGUUACCAACGUAGGGCUUCACCUAAGCACUACAACGACAUGACCGAGGUGGAAAUCUGUGGAGGGGGGCACCGCACACGGCUAAGACAACUGUCAACUUGUGUGUUCUAGGGUCCCCCUGCCCCCGUAUAUAAAGGAGCAAGGGGGAGGCCGGUCGGCCCUCAUGGGGCGCUCCCCAAGUAGGAUUCCUACUAGGAAUCCUAUUCCUAGUAGGUUUCCAACAAGGGAAGAGAGGGGGAAGGAAGGAGAGGGAGAGUGGGAGAAGGAAAGGGGGCGCCGCCCCCUUCCCUAGUCAAAUUCAGACCCAAGGGGGAGGGGGGGCGCGGCCUGCCCUAGCCGCCCCUCUCUCUCUCUCUCUCCACUAAGGCUCAUGUGGCCCAUUAGUUCCCCCGGGGGGUUCCGGUAACCCUUUGGCACUCCAGUUUCAUCCGAAAUUUCUCUGGAACAUUUCCGGUGUCUGAAUAUAGUCGUCCAAUAUAUCAAUCUUUAUGUCUCGACCAUUUCAAGACUCCUCGUCAUGUCUGUGAUCACAUCCCGGACUCCGAACUACCUUCGGUACAUCAGAACGCAUAAACUCAUAAUACCGAUCGUCACUGAACGUUAAGCGUGCGGACCCUACGGGUUCGAGAACUAUGUAGACAUGACCGAGACUCACUUCCGUUCAAUAACCAAUAGCGGAACCUGGAUGCUCAUAUUGGUUCCUACAUAUUCUACGAAGAUCUUUAUCAGUCAAACCGCAUAACAACAUACGUUGUUCCCUUUGUCAUCGGUAUGUUACUUGCCCGAGAUUCGAUCGUCGGUAUCUCAAUACCUAGUUCAAUCUCAUUACCGGCAAGUCUCUUUACUCGUUCCGUAAUGCAUCAUCCCGCAACUAACUCAUUAGUCGCAUUGCUUGCAAGGCUUAUAGUGAUGUGCAUUACCGAGAGGGCCCAGAGAUACCUCUCCGUAAAAUGGAGUGACAAAUCCUAAUCUCGAUCUAUGCCAACCCAACAAACACCAUCGAAGACACCUGUAGAGCAUCUUCAUAAUCACCCAGUUACGUUGUGACAUUUGAUAGCACACUAAGUGUUCCUCCGGUACUCAGGAGUUGCAUAAUCUCGUAGUCACAGGAACAUGUAUAAGUUAUGAAGAAAGCUAUAGCAAUAAACUAAACGAUCAUAGUGCUAAGCUAACGGAUGGGUCAAGUCAAUCACAUCAUUCUCUAAUGAUGUGAUCCCGUUCAUCAAAUGACAACACAUGUCUAUGAUUAGGAAACUUAACCAUCUUUGAUUAACAAGCUAAUCAAAGUAGAGGCAUACUAGUGACACUCAGUUUGUCUAUGUAUUCACACAUGUACUAAGUUUCCGGUUAAUACAAUUAUAGCAUGAAUAAUAAACAUUUAUCAUGAUAUAAGGAAAUAUAAAGGCUUGCCGAUCAUUGGGCAAGUCCACCAAAGUCCAUACUUUGUUCUCAUACAUGGAAGCUUUUCCUCUGCAGGGGCCUUGUGUAGUAAACCCCAUGUCGUAGGGGUGGGUAGGCCAAUAGAAGACUAGGGAACUUAGCCUAGCCACUCAGUUCUGCCCCGAGCCAAGCUAUCUCAGAUUUCAUGGCCUCAAGCCAUUUUGCGGAAUCUGGGCUCAUCAUCGCUUCCUGAAAGUUCGUAGGUUCAUCAUGGUCUAGUAAUAUGACUUCCAGAACAGGAUUACCGUACCACUCUGGUGCGGAACGUGCUCUGGUUUACCUACAAGGUUCGGUAGUAACUCGAGCUUAUCAGGCUGAAGCCUUUUGACAUAUGUGUCACAACCUCAAACUUUAAGAAACGACAGCUUAGGUUUCUUGCCAAACCACAGUUCAUACGGUGUCGUCUCAACGGAUUUAGACGGUGCCCUAUUUAACGUGAAUGCAGCUAUCUCUAAUGCAUAAACCCAAAACGAUAGUGGUAAAUCGAUAAGAGACAUCAUAGAUCGCACCAUAUCUAAUAAAGUACGGUUACGAUGUUCGGAGACACCAUUACGCUGUGGUGUUCAAAGUGGCGUGGGUUGUGAAACUAUUCCACAUUGUUUUAAAUGAAGGACAAACUCAUAACUCAAAUAUUAACCUCCGCGAUCAGAUUGUAGAAACUUUAUUUUCUUGUCACGAUGAUUCUCCACUCGACUCUGAAAUUCCUUGAACUUUUCAAAUGUUUCAGAUUUGUGUUUCAUUAAGUAGAUAUACCCAUAUCUGCUCAAAUCAUCUGUGAAGGUCAGAAAAUAACGAUACCUGCCGCGUGCCUCAACACUCAUCGGACCGCAUACAUCGGUAUGUAUUAUUUCGAAUAAGUCAAUUGGCUCGCUCCAUUGUUCCGGAGAACGGAGUUUUAGUCAUCAUGCCCAUGAGGCAUGGUUCGCAAGUAUCAAAUGAUUCAUAAUCAAGUGAUUCCAAAAAUCCAUCCGUAUGGAGUUUCUUCAUGCGCUUCACACCAAUAUGACCUAAACGGCAGUGCCACAAGUAUGUUGCACUAUCAUCAUCAACUUUGCAUCUUUUGGCAUCAAUAUUAUGAAUAUGUGUAUUACUACGAUCGAGAUUCAAUAAACCAUUUACGUUGGGUGUAUGACCAUAGAAGGUUUUAUUCAUGUAAACAGAACAACAAUUAUUCUCUGACUUCAAUGAAUAACGUAUUGCAAUAAACAUGAUCCAAUCAUAUUCAUGCUCAAUGCAAACACCAAAUAACAUUUAUUUAGGUUCAACACUAACCCCGAAGGUAGAAGGAGUAUGCGAUGGUGAUCUUAUCAACCUUGGAAUCACUUCCAACACACAUCAUUACCUUGCCCUUAACUAGUCUUUGUUCAUUUUGCAACUCCCGUUUCGAGUUACUAAUCUUAGCAAAUGAACCGGCAUCAAAUACUCUAGGGUUACUAUGAACACUAGUAAAUUACACAUCAAUAACAUGUAUAUCAAAUAUACCUUUGUUCACUUUGCCAUCCUUCUUAUUCGCCAAUUAUUUGGGGUAGUUCCGCUUCCAGUGACCAUUCUCUUUGCAGUAGAAGCACUCAAUUUCAGGCUUAGGUCUAGCUUUGGGCUUCUUCACGGGAGUGUCAACUUGCUUGUCAUUCUUCUUAAAGUUCCCUUUCUUUUCCUUUGCCCUUUUUCUUGAAACUAGUGGUCUUGUUAACCAUCAACACUUGAUGCUCUUUCUUGAUUUCUACCUUCACCGAUUUUAGCAUCGCGACGAGCUCAGGGAUCGUUUUCGUCAUCCCUUGCGUAUUAUAGUUCAUCACGAAGUUCUAUUAACUUUGGUGAUAGUGACUAGAGAACUUUGUCAAUCACUAUCUUAUCUGGAAGAUUAACUCCCACUUGAUUCAAGCGAUUGUAGUACUUAGACAUUCUGAGCAUAUGCUCACUGGUUGAGCUAUUCUCCACCAUCUUGUAGGCAAAGUACUUGUCAGAGGUCUCAUACCUCUUGACUCAGGCAUGAGUCCGAAAUACCAAUUUCAGCUCUUGGAACAUCUUAUAUGCUCCGUGGCGUUCAAAACAAUUUCAUAACGUCUGCAUCUGCUCCUGCAAUAGGUCCGUCACCUAGCGGUGCCUCAAGGACAUAAUUCUUAUGUGCAGCAAUGAGGAUAAUCCUCAGAUCACGGACCCAGUCCGCAUCAUUGCUACUAUCAUCUUUAAACUUAUUUUUCUCUAGGAACAUAUCAAAAAUAAAGAAGGAGCUACAUCGCAAGCUAUUGAUCUACAACAUAGAUAUGCAAAUACUAUCAGGACUAAGUUCAUGAUAAAUUAAGUUCAAUUAAUCAUAUUACUUAAGAACUCCCACUUAGAUAGACAUCCCUCGAGUCAUCUAAAUGAUCACGUGAUCCAAAUCAACUAAACCAUGUCCGAUCAUCACGUGAGAUGGAGUAGUCUUCAAUGGUGAACAUCUCUAUGUUGAUCAUAUCUACUAUAUGAUUCAUGUUCGACCUUUCGGUCUCCAGUGUUCCGAGGCCAUGUCUGUACAUGCUAGGCUCGUCAAGUUUAACCCGAGUAUUCCGCAUGUGCAAAACUGUCUUGCACCCAUUGUAUGUGAACGUAGAGCCUAUCACACCCGAUCAUCACGUGGUGUCUCAGCACGAAGAACUUUCGCAACGGUGCAUACUAAGGGAGAACACUUAUACCUUGAAAUUUAGUUAAGGGAUCAUCUUAUAAUGCUACCGAAGUACUAAGCAAAAUAAGAUGCAUAAAAGAUAAACAUCACAUGCAAUCAACAUAUGUGACAUGAUAUGGCCAUCAUCAUCUUGUGCCUUUGAUCUCCAUCUCGAAAGCAUUGUCAUGAUCUCCAUCGUCACUGGCUUGACACCUUGAUCUCCAUCAUAGCGUCGUGGUCGUCUCGCCAACUAUUGCUUCUACAACUAUUGCUAACGCAUAGUGAUAAAGUAAAGCAAUUACAUGGCGUUUGCAUUUCAUACAACAAAGCGACAACCAUAAGGCUCCUGCCAGUUGCCGAUAACUUUUACAAAACUUGAUCAUCUCAUAUAGCAACGUAUAUCACGUCAUGUCUUGACCAUAUCACAUCACAACAUGCCCUGCAAAAACAAGUUAGACGUCCUCUACUUUGUUGUUGCAAGUUUUAAGUGGCUGCUAUGGGCUUCUAGCAAGAAUCGUUCUUACCUACGCAUCAAAACCACAAUGGUGAUUUAUCAAGUUUGCUGUUUUAACCUUCAACAAGGACCGGCCGCAGUCAAAUUCGAAUCAACUAUAGUAGGAGAAACAGACACCCGCCAGCCACCUUUAUGCAAAACUAGUUGCAUGUUUGUCGGUGGAACCAGUCUCAUUAACGUGGUCAUGUAAGGUUGGUCUGGGCCGCUUCAUCCAACAAUACCGCCGAAUCAAAAUAAGACAUUGGUGGUAAGCAGUAUGAUGAUCACCGCCCACAACUCUUUAUGUUCUACUCGUGCAUAUCAUCUACGCAUAGACCUGGCUCCGAUGCCACUGUUGGGAAACGUAUCAUGCAAUUUCAAAAAUUUCCUACGCUCACGCAAGACCUAUCUAGGAGAUGCAUAGCAACGAGAGGGGAGAGUGUGUCUAUGUACCCUCGUAGACCGUUAAGCGGAAGCGUUUAUCACGCGGUUGAUGUAGUCAUACUCUUCAUGAUCCGAUCACGGUCCAAACGAUCUAGUGCCGAACGGACGGCACCUCCGAGUUUAGCACACGUGUGGCUCGAUGACGUCUCCUCCUUCUUGAUCCAGCAAGCAGGAGAGGAGAAGUAGAUGGGAUCACAACCAACACGAUGGCAUGGUGGUGAUGGUGGUGGUGGAACACCGACAGCGCUUUGCUAAGCGUCGCCGGGACGAGGCGGUGGAACUACGGAGUAACGGGAGAGAGAGGGGCGCCAAGGGCUUGGUGUAUUCUCCAGGGGCACCCCUCCCCUAUAUAUAUAGGUGGAGGGGCAUGGUAAAUAGCCCCUCCAAGCCCUAGGUCGCAGCUAAGGGGGAGAGGACUUGGACUCCAAGUCCAAUCCUAUUCCUACUAGGACUCCUUCCUUUUUUGCCUUCCCUAGCCACAUGAGCUUUUGAGGACUUGGUGUGCUUAGCCCAAUAACGCCAGGGCGCCUCCCCACAGCCCAUGCUAGCCCUUGGGUCGUGGUGGAACCACUUGUGGACUUCCGGAACCCUCCGGAAUCCUUUGGAACCUUCUAGAAGCUUCCUGGUACAAUACCGAAAAAACUGCUUCUUUUUCAGGAACGAAAAAUAUGACUUCCCAUAUAUAAAGCUUUACCUCUCGACCAUUCCGAGACUCCUCGUGACGUCCGGGAUCUCAUCCAGGACUCCGAACAACAUUUGAUUACCACUCAUCAAAUAUCCCAAUACUACUCUAGCGUCAACGAACGUUAAGCGUGCGACCCUGCGGGUUCGGGAAUUAUGUAGUCAUGAAUGAGACACUUCUCCGGUCAAUAACCAACAGCGGAACCUGGAUGCUCAUAUUGGCUCCUACGUAUUCUACGAAGAUCUUUAUCGGUCGAACCGUUAUGACAACAUAAGUUAUUCCCUUUGUCUAUCGGUAUGUUACUUGCCCGAGAUUCGAUCGUCGAUAUCUUCAUACCUAGUUAUAUCUCGUUACCGGCAAGUCUCUUUACUCGUUCUGUAAUACAUCAUCCCGCAACUAACUCAUUAGUCACAUUGCCUGCAAGGCUUAUUAUGAUGUGCAUUACCGAGAGGGCCCAGAGAUACCUCUUCGAUACUCGGAGUGACAAAUCCUAAUCUUGAUCUAUGCCAACCCAACAAACACCUUCCGAGAUACCUAUAGAGCAUCUUUAUAAUCACCCAGUUACAUUGUGACGUUUGAUAGCACACAAGGCAUUCGUCCGGUAUCCGGGAGUUGCAUAAUCUCAUAGUCGAAGGAAUAUGUAUUUGACAUGAAGAAAGCAAUAUCAAUAAACUGAACGAUCAUUAUGCUAAGCUAAUGGAUGGGUCUUGUCCAUCACAUCAUUCUCCUAAUGAUGUGAUCCCGUUUAUCAAAUGACAACACAUGUAUGUGGUUAGGAAACUUAACCAUCUUUGAAUAACGAGCUAGUCUAGUAGAGGCUUACUAGGGACACGUUGUUUUGUCUAUGUAUCCACACAUGUAUCAAGUUUCCGGUUAAUACAAUUCUAGCAUGAAUAAUAAACAUUUAUCAUGAUAAAAGGAAAUAUAAAAUAACAACUUUAUUAUUGCCUCUAGGGCAUAUUUCCUUCGUCGUUAGCUUAGCAUAAUGAUCAUUCCGUUUUAUUGCUAUUGCUUUCUUCAUGUCAAAUACAUAUUCCUUCGACUAUGAGAUUAUGCAACUCCCGGAUACCGGAGGAAUGCCUUGUGUGCUAUCAAACGUCACAAUGUAACUGGGUGAUUAUAAAGAUGCUCUACAUGUAUCUCCGAAGGUGUUUUUUGAGUUGGCAUAGAUCGAGAUUAGGAUUUGUUACUCCGAGUAUCGAAGAGGUAUCUCUGGGCCCUCUCGGUAAUACACAUCAUAAGCUUGCAAGCAAACGACUAAGGAGUUGGUCACGAGGUGAUGUAUUAUGGAUUGAGUAAAGAGACUUGCCGGUAACGAGAUUGAACUAGGUAUGAAGAUACCGACAAUCGAAUCUCGGGCAAGUAACAUACCGAUAGACAAAGGGAAUUACGUAUGGUGUCAUAACGGUUCGACUGAUAUAGAUCUACGUAGAAUAUGUAGGAGCCAAUAUGGGCAUCUAGGUUCCGCUAUUGGUUAUUGACCGAGGAGGUGUCUCGGUCAUGUCUACAUAGUUCUCGAACCCGUAGGGUCCGCACGCUUAACGUUCGUUGACGAUAUAGUAUUAUAUGAGUUAUGUGAUUUGGUGACCGAAUAUUGUUCGGAGUCCCGGAUGAGAUCACGGAAAUGACGAGGAGUCUCUAAAUGGUCGAGAGGUAAAGAUUGAUAUAUAGGACGAUGGUAUUCGGACACUGGAAGUGUUCUAGAGGGUACCGGGUACUUAUCGGAUCACCGGAAAGGAGUUUCGGGCACCCCCGGCAAAAAUAUGGGCCUUAUGGGCCAAGUGAGGGAACACACCAGCCCUGGUGCGCCCCUAUAGAGGCCCGCCCGAUGAGGAGGAGAAGGAAAGAGGGGAGGGCAAGGAAAGUAUGGAUUGGGAUUCCUACUUCCUUCCCUCUCCCCCCGUCUUUCCUUCCCCCUCGGUUAUAUAUGACAGGGGGCGGCUUGGGAGGGACUCCAAGUAGGAUUCCUCCUACUUGGGCGCCUCCUAUGGCUGCUCCUCCCUCCCUCCCACCUAUAUAUAUGAGGAGGGGGCGCCUAGCACACAACAGACAAUUGCCUAGCCGUGUGCGGCGCCCCCCUCCAUAAUUUACACCCCCGGUCAUAUUCUUGCAGUGCCUAGGCGAAGCCCUGCGAGGAUCACUUCACCAUCACCGUCACCACACCAUCGUGCUGACGGAACUCAUCUACUACCUCGACGUCUUGCUGGAUCAAGAAGACGAGGGACGUUACCAAGCUGAACGUGUGCAGAACUCGGAGGUGUCGUACGUUCGGUACUCGAUCGAUGAACCGCGUUGUGAAACGCUUCCACUUACGGUCUACGACUGUACGUAGACACACUCUCCCCCUCGUUGCUAUGCAUCUCCAUGGAUAGAUCAUUGCGUGUGCGUAGAAUUUUUUUUGUUUUCCAUGCAACAAUUCCCAACAGUGGCAUCAUGAGCCAGGUCUAUGCGUAGAUGAUAUGCACGGGUAGAACACAAAGAGUUCUGGGCGGUGAUAGUCAUACUGCUUACCACCAAUAUCUUAUUUUGAUUCGGCGGUAUUGUGGGAUGAAGCGGUCCGGACCAACAUUACAUGUCCACGCACAUGAGACCGGUUCCACCGACUACAUGCAACUAGUUUUGCAUAAAGGUGGCUGGCGGGUGACUGUUUCUCCUACUUUAGUUGAAUGAGGCGGCAACGAUCGGUGAUGUCGAAGAGCCCAGAACUAGAGUUAAUGUAGAUUCGGGCCAUCAGGGCCAAAGGCACCAGGACGCCGACAAGCCGAAGAUGCUAGAGAGGACGCAACCUUCGGAACGAUUGUGAUAGAGCCACGGCAGCAGAGAAUGACGGCGAGCCAUGGACGCUGGAGAACACAUGCCCAGGGCAGUCGGGGCUGGAGUCGCACUGGCAAGAGGCCUGCCGCGAAGCCUCAUGCGUCCAGCCGCCAAAGGCGACCACAACUAGGGAAUCACCAUGGGGAACCCACCAUAGUCCAGCCCAUAGCCAUGGUUGCAACUCGGAGGGGGGAAACACCACUUCGGCGCCAUCAGAGGGCGGCCCAAGCCAAUCAAGGAGCCAUGCGAAAUCCUAGGAGUUAGUGCGGGCUUCAACGACUACGUCUCUGGUGGCGGCGAGAUGAGGAGGAGGGAGGGGGUAGGUGGUGGCGCAAUUUAGGUUUCCCCUAAUGCCGCCCCUAGAUAAGUACCUAUUGAUAUCCCGACAUUUUGGUAUUGCACUUGGUCUUGAACCUGGGACAUCACUCGUGUGUGUCAUCUACUAUGAUAGCUUUCUUCUUGAUGUCAUAUUGCAGGCUAUCUUGCACUGAGCUUCCCCUUCGCAUGGAAUUCAAAGUAAGUGAACAUUGCUGUACUCUACUCUCCCAAAUAUAGUAAGAAGUGACAUUUAUCUUAGCUCUUUCAAAAAAUGUAUAGAUCUCUCACCAUCUUCUUUGAUAGAAAUGCUAUUCUUUCUUUUACACCCAUUUACUUUUUCAUGAAAAUAAGCAAGGUCUCUAACUCUCUAUACAAGCCACUCUACUCUUCGCCUCAUCUUUUAUGCUCAUAUAACUCUUUUAUUUCACAAAUUUGGGCGAGUAAAGUAUGCAAGCGUUAUCUGAAAUGAAUGAACACAAAUUGUUUGUAGGUGGCUUUUCAAGCCCGCCGUCAAAUCCUAGGGCACUUACUCGAAGCCUCGAAUUAGAGCAAAAAGGGGAUAUGCAACAAAAAUAGCUUUUCUUUCAAUAAUUUGCCCUAGUUACCAUCGACAACUUGGGCUAAGCCAUAGGUCAACACAUCCUCCGAUAGAAAUGGAAGUCGUUGGAUAAUGAGAUUUGCAUUAUCUUUUUUUAAACCCUACCAUAUAUUAAUUAAAUUAUAACAUUCAUACAAUCAUUCAUUACAAAAUUUGCCACGUAGGGCGGAGCAGUAUUCAAAAAAAUACCAUCAGAGCAAUUAUCAAAACUGAACUUUGCAAUCUCGUGAGCCACCGUAUUGGCCCUCCUGUUAAUCUUGUCUAUCUUUAUACCCACCAUCAGCUUAGAGACAUUCAAUGCCUCCUUCUUUAGGUCCACCAGAGUUGACCUGUCAACACGCUCUUUUCCAAACACAAAAGCCACAAAAGAACAACCAGUUUCUAAAAUGAUGGGCUUGUCAAGAGUGAUACCAAUAUACAUGCCAUAGAGGGUCGAUCUUAGUUCCGCUUCCUCGACGCAAUGGCAAGCUCUAAUGUAACCCCAAGAGGAGAUGAUAACUUGUCUAUAAUGGCUCUAAUGACCACCCCCACGCUCGCAGCUUUGAUGGCCUCCACAAAACUUGUGUCGACAUUAAUCUUGAAAAAACCCAAGGUGGGAGGCUUCCAGGAGAUACCAUUCCUCUCCUUAUUAGUGGUUACCUGGAGUUCUUCCACCACUUGCUAACUUUGUUGCACACCGUCACCUGUAUGUUUGCAUGACAAGACGAGAAAGAAGCCCAAUAGUUGCCGCGAUGGAUUCCUUUCCCUUACCAGAAAUCAAAUCAUUCCUCAAGUGUCAAGCUCUCCAGAACAUGAAUAUAGUUUGAUCACGCAUACGCAAAUUUAAUUGAUCCAAUAAAAUAAGAAACCAGUCUGGCCCAAAAUAUUUGAUAAUAUCUUUGGCUGGUAAAUUCCACACUUCCUUCAAAGCCAUACGAAAUGCACGAGUCUUGGGACAAUUUACCAACGCGUGAAAAAUACAUUCAUCUUCAAUACCAUUGAUUGAGCACGUACCUAGAAUAGUUUGAUGGUGUUUUACCCUGUUAACUUGAAUCGCCAAACUAUUAGAAGCAGCCCUCCAAGCAAAGAUUCUAAUUUUCUGGGGGACAUUCGCCUUCCAAAUUAUGUUCCAGAGCCUCCGUUCCCCAUACUAGGAUUCUCGGAUUCACCCUUCGAUUGCUUAAGAAUCAUUGCCAGACUAUACACACUCUUCACCGAGAAUAAACCACUCUUCUCAUGGUGCCACGUAAUAAGAUCUCCCUCACCCAAAGUGAGAGUAUGCAGCUUUAAAAUUUCCUCUGUAUCAUGAGGAUAAAAUAGAUGUCUGAUCAGAUUUUCAUCCCACCUCCUAGAUCCACUCAUGAAUCAGACACCCAUUUAAUCCUCGUUCUGUUCUUCUUGGCAGUAAUGUUUAGGCCAGCUUCCCUAAGAAUCCAACUAUCCCUCAAAAUAUUUAUAGUAGUACCAUCAACAACUCUCCAAAUGAUGCCAUUUUUCAGCAGCUCAAGGCCAUGCAUAAUACCUUGCCAAGUAAGGGGCGUUGCUUGCGGGAAAACAGUAUCAAUAAGAUGCCCAUGAGGAUAAUAUUUAGUUUUCAUCACCUUUCCACACAGAGAAUUUAGAAAAAACAAUAAACGCCAAGCUUGUUUAGCCAAAAGCGCUUGAUUAAAAAACAUAAGGUUGCUGCCCUUGCGAGGAUAUGAGAUUAAAAAAACUGUUAUCAAUACUCUGAAUCAGUUGCCGAACAUGUUACAUGUGCCGUGAAAAAUGUACGAGUUAGAAGCACAAACUGUGAGCUACUACAUCACACGAGCAGACUUACACUAAAAAACAUGUCCUUAAUGAAUUAGUCGUGGUGGCAAACUAAAUGGCACUUAUUAUCAUGUCAACCCCGAUGUGUAAGGUUGUCUAUGGUCAAAACUACUACAUGGUUUAAAAGCCACAAGAAGAUCUUCAAUCAAAGUAACACACAAUUGCAUAUAUAUGACAUCAAAUCUUAUCUCCCAUUCUUCCCACUCAAGACUCAACUCGACCAUGACAGGAUUCUUGCAGUUUUCUGAUAUCUUAAUUUCAUCUUCAAUGGCUUUCAAAGCUGCAUCUACCUAUCGCUAUUUCUCCUUCAACAUGCGCUAACUUUUCAUGCGUCAGACGGUCAACACAACUUAGAAAAUCAAGCAGACUGUUUCGAGAAAUGCUAUAGCUAAGGGAAAUUUCUUACUGGUUCAAGUUUAUGGAAAGAUGCGGCACUAAAUACUUGGCCCGGUGGAAAUCGGGGGCCCAGAGAGUAAAAUAAGCGAGGAGUUAUCUAUGGACAAUGUCCUGUAACCAGCAUCCGUAAUCAGUUGCCAGCAAGUCUAGCAAUUUUGCUAUGUUCCUGGUCUUACAAAAUCAUAGCUUCUUCGAUCCGAAUUAAUUAACACAGUCUUUAUGCAAUAAUAGGCUGUGAAUCAAUUGACGCAGCCUCUAUACAACACGCAGGCUGGAGGAGGAAGUAUGAGAGAGUGAUUUUCACUUGUGGUGUGGUAAGAGAAGCACGUACGUACGGCAUGUCCGCAUGUGCAUAUUAUAUUUUAUCAGCUCUAAUAAACACCCAAGAAUAGGAUAAUAUGAAAUCUUGCAAUGAGACUUGGACACGUCGAUCAAACAGGGGCUAGGGCUUUCAAAAAAGAAAACAGAAGCUAAAGCUAGGGCGCGUGGCCCGCCGACCACCGCAUAUCGCCUCGCCUGCAUCUCACCUUUUCUUUGCAUCGUGAGGAACGUCGGCAUUAUUGGACUUCACCGUCACACUGCCCCACCCAAUCUCCUUCCUGAACCAGCCUUUACACUUGUAUAUUGGUCUCCUACUUGGCCUUCGGUACUUCAUCCGCAUGUGUUGGAUCGAAUCAGCAGCUCGUGAUAUGGGUGAGCAAUCGAGCUUCGCGAAGCUACUACUUUGUACGUGGCGGCAAGGUACGAGCACCGCCGCGCGACGUGUCCCGUUGCUUCUGCCUAUAAAUGCCGCCUGCUCCAAUCUCCUUUCCAACACAAGCAGUCGAUUCAUCCAAGCCAGAGUUGAGCAAUACUAGCAGUGAGAUUUGGCCCUUCCGAUCGAGUGAUUUCAGUUCGUGUUUGUUAGUGAGAGAGAAGACAAGCGGAGAUGGCCUCCAACCAGAACCAGGCGAGCUACAUGGCCGGCGAGACCAAGGCCCGCACCGAGGUAACCGUCGUCUCCUAUAGUGCCUACCACUUCAUCCUGCUGCCGCGCGCAUGCGCCGUUGCUUCCGGCGGUGAUCUGAAAUGCUCUCUUCGUUGUGCAGGAGAAGACCGGGCAGAUGAUGGACAAGGCGGGCCAGGCCACGGAGGCCACCAAGCAGAAGGCCGGCGAGACGGCCGAGGCCACCAAGCAGAAGGCCGGCGAGGCCAAGGACAAGACGGCCCAGACGGCUCAGGCGGCCAAGGACCGCGCCGCCGAGAGCAAGGACCAGACCGGCAGCUUCCUCGGCGAGAAGACUGAGGCGGCCAAGCAGAAGGCGUCGGAGACGGCGCAGUACGCGCAGGAUAGGUCCUCCGACGCCGCGCAGUACACCAAGGAAUCCGCCGUUGCCGGCAAGGACAAAACCGGCAGCGUGCUCCAGCAGGCCGGCGAGACGGUGGUGAGCGCGGUGGUGGGCGCCAAGGACGCGGUGGCGAACACGCUGGGCAUGGGCGGUGACAACACCACCAAGGACACCACCACCAGGAAUCACUAGAUGCAUGCGUUCGCGCUUAAUUUGCUUUCCUUUAGUCGUGUUUGGUCGUUCACGAGCCUUCUACUAUGUUUCCACUCUUUCGUGAUUUUCCGCUCAUUUAGUGUAAGUUUGCCGCCGAUUUGAUCUACCCGUGUCCCGUUCUGUAAUGAGUUACUUAUAAUCCAUGUACUUCACUCGAAGGCGGCAAUAAAGUUAUAUGUGAUCGAAUUUCUUUUGUCACGGUAUCAUUGAAACUUCAAUCCGUUGUUGCCGGACCAACUGAGCAUUGCUCAUAUGGUGAGGUACUGAGGUUCGCUGUG
rnacentral:lncRNA from 1 species